CCUACGGGCGGCUGCAGUGGGGAAUAUUGCACAAUGGGCGCAAGCCUGAUGCAGCCAUGCCGCGUGUGUGAAGAAGGCCUUCGGGUUGUAAAGCACUUUCAGCGGGGAGGAAGGCGGUGAGGUUAAUAUCCUCAUCGAUUGACGUUACCCGCAGAAGAAGCACCGGCUAACUCCGUGCCAGCAGCCGCGGUAAUACGGAGGGUGCAAGCGUUAAUCGGAAUUACUGGGCGUAAAGCGCACGCAGGCGGUCUGUCAAGUCGGAUGUGAAAUCCCCGGGCUCAACCUGGGAACUGCAUUCGAAACUGGCAGGCUAGAGUCUUGUAGAGGGGGGUAGAAUUCCAGGUGUAGCGGUGAAAUGCGUAGAGAUCUGGAGGAAUACCGGUGGCGAAGGCGGCCCCCUGGACAAAGACUGACGCUCAGGUGCGAAAGCGUGGGGAGCAAACAGGAUUAGAUACCCCGGUAGUC
rnacentral:rRNA from 1 species